rnacentral:rRNA from 1 species
UACGUAGGGUGCACGCGUUAAUCGGAAUUACUGGGCGUAAAGCGUGCGCAGGCGGUUAUGCAAGACAGAUGUGAAAUCCCCGGGCUCAAUCUGGGAACUGCAUUUGUGACUGCAUGGCUGGAGUGCGGCAGAGGGGGAUGGAAUUCCGCGUGUAGCAGUGAAAUGCGUAGAUAUGCGGAGGAACACCGAUGGCGAAGGCAAUCCCCUGGGCCUGCACUGACGCUCAUGCACGAAAGCGUGGGGAGCAAACAGG